GGACGCAUAGUAUAGUGGCCAGUACAGCGGUGAGGAACUGAAAGAGGGUCGGCUCAAUCGGACAGACACCGAAGGCGAGGGUUCGAAUCCCUCUGCUUCCA